GGGCGAAGCCUGACGCAGCACGCCGCGUGAGGGACGAAGGCUUUCUGAGUUGUAAACCUCUUUCGACAGGAACGAUUGUGACGGUACCCGUAGAAGAAGCACCGGCCAACUAUGUGCCAGCAGCCGCGGUGAUACAUAGGGUGCAAGCGUUAUUCGGAUUUAUUGGGCGUAAAGAGCUCGUAGGCGGUUCAACAAGUCGGGUGUUAAACCCCCAGGCUCAACCUGGGGCCGCCACCCGAAACUGUUGUGACUAGAGUUUGGUAGGGGAUCACGGAAUUCCUGGUGUAGCGGUGGAAUGCGCAGAUAUCAGGAGGAACACCAGUAGCGAAGGCGGUGAUCUGGGCCAAUACUGACGCUGAGGAGCGAAAGCGUGGGGAGCGAACAGGAUUAGAUACCCUGGUAGUCCACGCCGUAAACGGUGGGCACUAGGUGUGGGGACUUUUCAACGGUUUCCGCGCCGCAGCUAACGCAUUAAGUGCCCCGCCUGGGGAGUACGGUCGCAAGACUAAAACUCAAAGGAAUUGACGGGG
rnacentral:rRNA from 1 species